ACGCCGGUGAGGCGCCGGAAUGGGUUACUUCGCCUCCAAAGCGACCAUUGGGAAAACUCGGGCAUUACGGCAGGUUCGACUCCUGCACCGACCUA
rnacentral:tRNA from 1 species